rnacentral:rRNA from 1 species
CCCUUAGAUGUUCUGGGCUGCACGCGUGCUACACUGAUAUUGCCAAUAUGUCAUUCUUAUCCGAAAUGGAUUGGGUAAUCAAGUAAUGAAAUUUCAUGCUUGGAAUCGGUAAUUGCAAUUUUAUCGUGAACGAGGAAUUCCUAGUAAGCACUAGUCAUCAGCUAAUGUUGAUUAUGUCCCUGCCCUUUGUACACACCGCCCGUCGCUACUCCUGAUUGGGUGUUCAAGUGAGAUGCUUAGACCCUUGUUGCAUGGUUCAUUAUUGUGCUCCGAAAGGAAAAAGUUUCAAGCUUGAGUGUCUAGAGGAAGUAAAAGUCGUAACA